GCCUCACACGCGGGAGACCCGGGUUCAAUUCCCGGUCAAAGCAAGGGGUUUUUUUGCUCUUCACUAUGGCUCUUUACCCUUCUGCCCUGCAGAAUUACACUGCAUAACCUAAUAGUGCAUUUAAGGGCUUGGCCACCACAAGCUAAACUGACAACAACGCUGACCAAAGUAGCAGCAAAAGAAAUUCAGGAGACUAACCCGGGACCCACGCAGUUGUUGGACUCAACAAACCGCUAAGCAAAG
rnacentral:lncRNA from 1 species